GGAUCCGCACAAGUAGUGGAGCAUGUGGUUUAAUUCGAAGAUACGCGCAGAACCUUACCAACACUUGACAUGUUCGUCGCGACUCUAAGAGAUUAGAGUUUUCGGUUCGGCCGGACGAAACACAGGUGCUGCAUGGCUGUCGUCAGCUCGUGUCGUGAGAUGUUGGGUUAAGUCCCGCAACGAGCGCAACCCUCACUUUUAGUUGCCAUCAUUAAGUUGGGCACUCUGAAAGAACUGCCAGUGAUAAGCUGGAGGAAGGUGGGGAUGACGUCAAGUCCUCAUGGCCCUUACGUGUUGGGCUACACACGUGCUACAAUGGUAAAGACAAAGGGUUGCUACUUGGCGACAAGAUG
rnacentral:rRNA from 1 species